UGAGGAAUAUUGGUCAAUGGGCGCUAGCCUGAACCAGCCAAGUAGCGUGAAGGAUGAAGGCUCUAUGGGUCGUAAACUUCUUUUAUAUAAGAAUAAAGUGCAGUAUGUAUACUGUUUUGUAUGUAUUAUAUGAAUAAGGAUCGGCUAACUCCGUGCCAGCAGCCGCGGUAAUACGGAGGAUCCAAGCGUUAUCCGGAUUUAUUGGGUUUAAAGGGAGCGUAGGUGGACUGGUAAGUCAGUUGUGAAAGUUUGCGGCUCAACCGUAAAAUUGCAGUUGAUACUGUCAGUCUUGAGUACAGUAGAGGUGGGCGGAAUUCUUGCUGUAGCAGUGAAAUGCUUAGAUAUCACGAAGAACUCCGAUUGCGAAGGCAGCUCACUGGACUGCAACUGACACUGAUGCUCGAAAGUGUGGGUAUCAAACAGG
rnacentral:rRNA from 1 species